GUCGUUUAACAUUUUUCUGUGACUUGCGGAAACAGAACAGCAUGGCAUACAUUUUAGAUAUGAAAGUGUUUUUUUUUCAGAUGCAAUGGUCAUUUCUUUUCGGAAAGGAAAUAGAAUUUAUUUUCAAAAGUUAUACUCAAAAGGAUGAUAAGUGUUAAAACAUUCACUCUUAACUCUUAUUCAAUUUAAGCUGUGAAAGACCGAUCAGAAAAAAAAAGUUGGUUAUUUGGAUGAAGUCAAUAUUCCCCUUCGAAAAAUAAAUAAAUAGUUUCACCAUUGGGAAGAUCGUCGUUUCUAUAGUGUAAAUGGCUAAUAAAAAAAAUCGAUUUUUUGAUACAGUAAAGAGUAUACAAGCGAGGCUAGUACGUGCAAAAUUCUCUCUGCUAAAACAUCCACGUGAAGUAAACCGAAAGUCCAAUCAAAGCUGAAAAUAUCAGGUAACUGGCUAGUUGUGUUCCUAAUUCUUUUUCGACUGCUCUAGUUUGUUUUCUUUAUUUCGCAUGAAUGCCCUGUUACCUAAAGCUAGGUACAGUAUUUUUGUUAUUUAUUAUUUGCAGUAUUUUGUUAUUGCAGUGUUUUUGUUCUAGCCAACAUUCACAUUGCCACUUACAUUACGAGCAAAUUACAAGCUUUUUACGCACAUGCUCUUUAAAGUUAUGACAUAAACAACUGCCAACGUCAAAUAUUUUGAUUGCUAAUAAACGUGGUAAGGGCCUAUUUCACCAGGGUAAUGACAAAUUUGGCAAAGCAAAAGGUAUACAUUGUUUCUGCACAUCACAUUUUGGUAUUGCUUUCAGUGCUUUUAAGGAACUAAAUAUUUGCAAUGCUAAUGAUUUAGAAUACGUAAUUGAGCAAGGUAACAUACUUUAUAAAAGCACUGGUAGCACAGGAUUUUUAUCUUGCCCUGAACUACUACACCAAUAAACAAAUAAACAGUAGAGCAUGUAAAUGUCAAUUCACUUUUUACUGACAAUGUUUUUGGAUUUUUGCACACAGGUACAAAUUGCCUACCCCACUUAAUUGAUAAUUUAAUGAAUAAUUCCCCUCACAUUGGAAAAAUGUUUAUUUGUCAAGUGCUUCAUUUAAAUUGCUAGAUUUGAAAACAAAAUUUCAAAUGAUUAUGCACAACAAAGUGUAUUAUUAUUAUUACAUAUUAUUACUCCGAAUAUUUAUACAGGACAUAGCCACUUCAGUGUUGGAAACACUGUUAUCAAUGUGGGUCCUGUGUUCGGAAUGUAUACAUUAAGUAUACACCGGUAAUACCUACCCAAUUUCCCUCACAUGGCUUGGGUUGACUCAUAGCUGGUAAAGUGGUAAAGACACUUGCUAAACAUACCCGUGCUGUGGACCGAACCACGGACCUUGUGAUUGCGAAGCGAACUCAAUAACCACAAGGCCACGCACGGUUCGAGUGAUGUUUAAUAGCAAAACAAAACAAAAACAGUCUCAAACUUCGACUCUGUUUACAUGCUCUAGCUUGUUGUUAAAUUCUUGAAAAUUAUUUUUUUUACAAUGAUCUUGUUCUACUGGAAUUUAGCUUGUUUUUCUCAUCGCCCGAACCUCACGAUAAUUUUUAAUCACCAUAGGAUAGACCAAGAAGUGAGUGAAUCUUCACAAGUCCUGUUGAGCUAUGAACGCUGUGUGACGUCACAAGCGAUUAAAAUUUGUAUGAACCAAGUUGGCUUUUGUUUGAUAAUGGGGGCGACCAUCAAUGUAAUUAUCGUUUUUGGGGAACAAAAUUUGCAAAAUGAAAAAUUUUAAUGCCAAGUUGUUUUCAGGAUAUGUAAGAAUGUUUUUAUUACAAAAAAACUUUAGUAAGUUUUUUCGUUAGUUCUCCUUUUAAACAAAACAAGAGAUGAGAACGAUUAUCGUAAAUCCUCAACGCUUUUUUAAAACUCAAAACGUUUUAAUGCGGUGCUUAACCGAGGGAGGCGCUUAUUGAAAAAAAUUUUUUCAACAAAUCUUUUGUCAAUACAAGAUGGCCAUAUAUUACAGAAAUAACUAUAACUGAAGUAUUUUCCCUUUAUAUAUUCCUCUAGCUAACGUCCUCGAUUAAGCUGUGCACUUCUUCGAAUAAUCGCCGUAUUUCUGUGUACUAUGCGGUGAGGAUAUACAAUAAUUUCAUUUGAUUCUUUUUCAUAUCCAGACCACAAACCGUCGUGUAAAAUUGCCUUACUCGGAGCUUCAAUUAAAGGUCAUUCUGUCAACAAACUUUGCCUAAAUAUAUCUAUAGCUUACCAGGUGUCUAUUUUUUACACUGGAUCCUCGUCAAGCUUCAUCAAAAAGUACCGCAUAUCAGUGCAAAAACACGACAAUUGCAAAAUGGUUCAUAUAGGUAAUAUAGAAACAACGAAUUGGUUUCCAAGAAUAUUAUGCAUUGACAUUCAGUUUCUCCCAGUUAUUAAGCCAAGCUUCUUGUUUGUUUAUAAAUUACUCUGGCUUGCUAAAAUAUUCAGGUAUGCUGCAUAUGCUUGUUAUUCAAAGCUGAGUUAAACAAAAUACCAAAAAAAAUUGUUAGUAGUUUAGUAUUUAUUUGUUUAUUCUGCAUUUUUACCUCUUUUUCUUUUCAGGUCACAAGCUGAUACAUAACUCGUAAAAACAAGGAAUUUAGAGCAUUUUUCAUCAAUUUGUGCUUGUUAAUUUUAAAUCAAUUUAUCGUUCCUGAAAUAAACUAUAAUAACUAAGUUAAUAUUUGCUGUUAUGAUACAGGGAAUUCAAAUUCAAGAACUUCUGACUUUAACGCUAAGGUCUAAAAUCAAUUUGCUGUUCAACUUAUUUUUAUACCGAUAUUUCCAAAGUUGUCCUAUACUAUAUUAAAAGCUUGAGUGUUUUGUUUUUGGUAAACAACGAUGGAAAAAGGAAAGGUAAUUGGCAGUGUAUACUAUGAAUACAUGUUUGGGAGAAAUAAAACAUAGAUUUUGGUUAACUUGAUAGACGAACCACAAGACUGCCACCUGAGAUGAAAUUUUCGUGCGUUUUUUUCUACCGUCUGUGUAUAUAAUGACCUAUCUUUUAUUAUAAACAAGUGUUAUUUUUCAUUAUCAUUUAACUGAUUUCAAUCUUGCAUUUUUUGCAAAAUAAUUCACCAAAUAUUUCACAAUAAGUAUCAAUAUUAUCGAUAUGGUAACUAUUAUCAUAACUAUAUGAAGUUUUACGCCACAAUACCAAAAUUUGGAAGGAAAAACUUUCCGUGAAAAUAGUUGUUGAAAAAAUCUGUCUAUCAAGGUUCACUUUAAGGGUUUAUAAAAAGCAAUCAUCAUAAAGACCAACUACUACUCAAAUGAUUCACCUUGUAAAGAAGAAGUGUGUGAAUCAUUUUGUGACGUUGUUUCUUCAGUCACAGCAGGUGUUGUACGUGAUAUUUGUAAUUUGACAUCUUGGCCAGUUGACUUUAGCACUAAAACUGCAUUUUCAUGUGUUGUGUUGACCAAGGAGUUUUUGUUUACCUAAAAUAAAUAUCAAUAAUGUAGAAUCUUUCAUUACAAAACAACUGAUAUUGUGUCUGUUGGAAAGAGAGAAUCAAAAUUUAAAUUGCAAUGUAUAAAAGAUAAUAUGCAAGACAUUUUGUAAUGAAGGUCAGAGCAUGCUAAUGUUUGCAGUGGGGAUCACUAAACGAAACAAUGCAUAUUGUUGGUAGAGAGGAGAGGAUAAAUUUUACACAGAGUUUAUUUAGAGUUUAUAUUUAAUCAGCAAUCACACAAAAAACAGAUUUUUCGCAUUAUAAGUGCAGUAUAAGUUUCCAUGUAGAAUAUAUUUGUAAUAAAUGAACUUUAAUAAAUAAAUUGCUAGGUUCAAAGUUUUGAAAUAUUUUGGUAGGCAGCCAGUUAGCUAUAGAGUUAGCUAUAUACAUGUUUUAAAUUACUUUAGGAACUAACUGUUGGUACAGAAGGUUUUGCAGCAUAUAAACUUGGUUUAUUGACGAAUAAGUAAAACGUUUCAGGGACAAGUUAGCUUUUAUUAGCCCUGUAGCAAAGUUAACCUGCAGUAUGGUAGCCCAGUUGUGUGCCUACUACUUUGUUUUUUCUAAAGGAGGGAUUUCCAGGAAAUUCCCAUGUGGUUGUUGUUGUGUUGGUGGUUACUGUCUUGUAAAAAGAUUCAUGGAAAAAACAUUUUCCUGGAAAAAACAGCUGAGCUUGCUUAACCCCUAUAAUUGCAUUUUACCUAAACAACUACACAAAAAUUAAAAAUACUCUAACUCCUACCAUAAGUAUCUUAUCUCCGACUUGCAGUUGCUCAUCUGCAUGUGCAGCACCACCUGGAAUAAUUUUUGUUACAAAUAUGCCAACAUCUCCUGGUAUGUGCUGGUUAUCAGUUCCUCCAGCAAUUGUAAAACCUAAUCCAGUAUCUCCUUUGUGAAGUUCAAUGUCUAUUAUUUGUUCUUUGGGUGGUUCGAUUUUAACCCUCUUAAUUUU